rnacentral:rRNA from 1 species
GACGAACGCUGGCGGCGUGCCUAAUACAUGCAAGUAGAACGCUGAAGAGAGGAGCUUGCUCUUCUUGGAUGAGUUGCGAACGGGUGAGUAACGCGUAGGUAACCUGCCUUGUAGCGGGGGAUAACUAUUGGAAACGAUAGCUAAUACCGCAUAACAAUGGAUGACCCAUGUCAUUUAUUUGAAAGGGGCAAAUGCUCCACUACAAGAUGGACCUGCGUUGUAUUAGCUAGUAGGUGAGGUAACGGCUCACCUAGGCGACGAUACAUAGCCGACCUGAGAGGGUGAUCGGCCACACUGGGACUGAGACACGGCCCAGACUCCUACGGGAGGCAGCAGUAGGGAAUCUUCGGCUAUGGGGGCAACCCUGACCGAGCAACGCCGCGUGAGUGAAGAAGGUUUUCGGAUCGUAAAGCUCUGUUGUAAGUCAAGAACGAGUGUGAGAGUGGAAAGUUCACACUGUGACGGUAGCUUACCAGAAAGGGACGGCUAACUACGUG